rnacentral:rRNA from 1 species
UACGUGGGGGGCUAGCGUUGUCCGGAAUCAUUGGGCGUAAAGCGCGUGUAGGCGGUCCGGUAAGUCCGCUGUGAAAGUCGGGGGCUCAACCCUCGAAUGCCGGUGGAUACUGUCGGGCUAGAGUGCGGAAGAGGCGAGUGGAAUUCCUGGUGUAGCGGUGAAAUGCGCAGAUAUCAGGAGGAACACCGAUUGCGAAGGCAGCUCGCUGGGACGUAACUGACGCUGAGACGCGAAAGCGUGGGGAGCAAACGGG